CCUACGGGAGGCAGCAGUGGGGAAUAUUGCACAAUGGGGGAAACCCUGAUGCAGCAACGCCGCGUGAGUGAAGAAGUAUUUCGGUAUGUAAAGCUCUAUCAGCAGGGAAUAAUACAGACGGUACCUGACUAAGAAGCUCCGGCUAACUACGUUCCAUCAGCCGCGGUAAUACUUAGGGGGCAAGCGUUAUCCGGAUGUACUGGGUGUAAAGGGAGCAUAGACGGCUGUGCAAGUCUGAAGUGAAAGCCCGUGGCUCAACCGCGGAACUGCUUUGGAAACUGUAUAGCUGGAGUACUGGAGAGGCAGGCGGAAUUCCUAGUGUAGCGGGGAAAAGCGUAGAUAGUAGGAGGAACACCAGUGGCGAAGGCGGCCUGCUGGACAGAAACUGACGUUGAGGCUCUAAAGCGUGGGGAGCAAACAGGAUUAGAUACCCCGGUAGUC
rnacentral:rRNA from 1 species